rnacentral:rRNA from 1 species
AGAGUUUGAUCAUGGCUCAGGACGAACGCUGGCGGCGUGCCUAACACAUGCAAGUCGAACGAAUGAUGGAGAGCUUGCUCUCCAUCGUUAGUGGCGAACGGGUGCGUAACACGUGAGCAACCUACCCUGCGGCGGGGGAUAGCCGGUCUAACGGCCGGGUAAUACCGCGUACGACCUCGGGCUCGCAUGGGCCUGGGGUGAAAGCGGGCGCAAGCUCGCACCGCAAGAGGGGCUCGCGGCCUAUCAGCUAGUUGGCGGGGUAACGGCCCACCAAGGCGACGACGGGUAGCUGGUCUGAGAGGAUGAUCAGCCACAUUGGGACUGAGAUACGGCCCAGACUCCUACGGGAGGCAGCAGUGGGGAAUAUUGCGCAAUGGCCGAAAGGCUGACGCAGCGACGCCGUGUGUGGGAUGAAGGCCUUCGGGUUGUAAACCACUGUCAGGGGGGACGAAUACUCGGCCUCGAAUAGGGGACCGAGGGUGACGGUACCCCCAGAGGAAGCACCGGCUAACUCCGUGCCAGCAGCCGCGGUAAUACGGGGGGUGCUAGCGUUGUCCGGAAUCACUGGGCGUAAAGCGCACGUAGGCGGCCUUUUAAGUCGCUUGUGAAAUCCCGGGGCUCAACUCCGGGGCUGCAGGCGAUACUGGAUGGCUAGAGCUCGGUAGAGGCGAGUGGAAUUCCCGGUGUAGCGGUGGAAUGCGUAGAUAUCGGGAAGAACACCAGUGGCGAAGGC